GACGAACGCUGGCGGCGUGCCUAAUACAUGCAAGUUGAGCGAUGAAGCUUGGUGCUUGCACCAAUUUGAAGAGCAGCGAACGGGUGAGUAACGCGUGGGGAAUCUGCCUUUGAGCGGGGGACAACAUUUGGAAACGAAUGCUAAUACCGCAUAACAACUUUAAACAUAAGUUUUAAGUUUGAAAGAUGCAAUUGCAUCACUCAAAGAUGAUCCCGCGUUGUAUUAGCUAGUUGGUGAGGUAAAGGCUCACCAAGGCGAUGAUACAUAGCCGACCUGAGAGGGUGAGCGGCCACAUUGGGACUGAGACACGGCCCAAACUCCUACGGGAGGCAGCAGUAGGGAAUCUUCGGCAAUGGACGAAAGUCUGACCGAACAACGCCGCGUGAGUGAAGAAGGUUUUCGGAUCGUAAAACUCUGUUGGUAGAGAAGAACGUUGGUGAGAGUGGAAAGCUCAUCAAGUGACGGUAACUACCCAGAAAGGGACGGCUAACUACGUG
rnacentral:rRNA from 1 species